rnacentral:rRNA from 1 species
GAUGGGAGCUUGCUCCCUGAUGUUAGCGGCGGACGGGUGAGUAACACGUGGGUAACCUGCCUGUAAGACUGGGAUAACUCCGGGAAACCGGGGCUAAUACCGGAUGGUUGUUUGAACCGCAUGGUUCAGACAUAAAAGGUGGCUUCGGCUACCACUUACAGAUGGACCCGCGGCGCAUUAGCUAGUUGGUGAGGUAACGGCUCACCAAGGCGACGAUGCGUAGCCGACCUGAGAGGGUGAUCGGCCACACUGGGACUGAGACACGGCC